rnacentral:rRNA from 1 species
CAGUCGCCGCGGUAAUACGAAGGGGGCUAGCGUUGUUCGGAUUUACUGGGCGUAAAGCGCACGUAGGCGGAUCGAUCAGUCAGGGGUGAAAUCCCAGAGCUCAACUCUGGAACUGCCUUUGAUACUGUCGAUCUGGAGUAUGGAAGAGGUGAGUGGAAUUCCGAGUGUAGAGGUGAAAUUCGUAGAUAUUCGGAGGAACACCAGUGGCGAAGGCGGCUCACUGGUCCAUUACUGACGCUGAGGUGCGAAAGCGUGGGGAGCAAACAGGAUUAGAGACCCCCGUAGUCCCUGUCUCUUAUAA